GACGAACGCUGGCGGCGUGCUUAACACAUGCAAGUCGAACGGUAAGGCUCCAGCUUGCUGGGGUACACGAGUGGCGAACGGGUGAGUAACACGUGGGUGACCUGCCCUGCACUUCGGGAUAAGCCUGGGAAACUGGGUCUAAUACCGGAUAGGACCGCACCGUGAGGGUGUGGUGGAAAGUUUUUUCGGUGUGGGAUGGGCCCGCGGCCUAUCAGCUUGUUGGUGGGGUAAUGGCCUACCAAGGCGGCGACGGGUAGCCGGCCUGAGAGGGUGGACGGCCACAUUGGGACUGAGACACGGCCCAGACUCCUACGGGAGGCAGCAGUGGGGAAUAUUGCACAAUGGGCGGAAGCCUGAUGCAGCGACGCCGCGUGGGGGAUGACGGCCUUCGGGUUGUAAACUCCUUUCACCAUCGACGAAGGGUUUCUGACGGUAGAUGGAGAAGAAGCACCGGCUAACUACGUGCCAGCAGCCGCGGUAAUACGUAGGGUGCGAGCGUUGUCCGGAAUUACUGGGCGUAAAGAGCUCGUAGGUGGUUUGUCGCGUCGUCUGUGAAAUUCCGGGGCUUAACUCCGGGCGUGCAGGCGAUACGGGCAUAACUUGAGUACUGUAGGGGAGACUGGAAUUCCUGGUGUAGCGGUGAAAUGCGCAGAUAUCAGGAGGAACACCGGUGGUGAAGGCGGGUCUCUGGGCAGUAACUGACGCUGAGGAGCGAAAGCAUGGGGAGCGAACAGGAUUAGAUACCCUGGUAGUCCAUGCCGUAAACGGUGGGCGCUAGGUGUGGGUUUCCUUCCACGGGAUCCGUGCCGUAGCUAACGCAUUAAGCGCCCCGCCUGGGGAGUACGGCCGCAAGGCUAAAACUCAAAGGAAUUGACGGGGGCCCGCACAAGCGGCGGAGCAUGUGGAUUAAUUCGAUGCAACGCGAAGAACCUUACCUGGGCUUGACAUAUACAGGAUCGCGCCAGAGAUGGUGUUUCCCUUGUGGCUUGUAUACAGGUGGUGCAUGGUUGUCGUCAGCUCGUGUCGUGAGAUGUUGGGUUAAGUCCCGCAACGAGCGCAACCCUUGUCUUAUGUUGCCAGCACGUUGUGGUGGGGACUCGUAAGAAACUGCCGGGGUUAACUCGGAGGAAGGUGGGGAUGACGUCAAAUCAUCAUGCCCCUUAUGUCCAGGGCUUCACACAUGCUACAAUGGUCGGUACAGUGGGUUGCCAGUCCGUGAGGGCGAGCUAAUCCCGCAAAGCCGGUCUCAGUUCGGAUCGGGGUCUGCAACUCGACCCCGUGAAGUCGGAGUCGCUAGUAAUCGCAGAUCAGCAACGCUGCGGUGAAUACGUUCCCGGGCCU
rnacentral:rRNA from 1 species